rnacentral:rRNA from 1 species
GGGUUGUGAGGUUAAGCGACUAAGCGUACACGGUGGAUGCCCUGGCAGUCAGAGGCGAUGAAGGACGUGCUAAUCUGCGAUAAGCGUCGGUAAGGUGAUAUGAACCGUUAUAACCGGCGAUUUCCGAAUGGGGAAACCCAGUGUGUUUCGACACACUAUCAUUAACUGAAUCCAUAGGUUAAUGAGGCGAACCGGGGGAACUGAAACAUCUAAGUACCCCGAGGAAAAGAAAUCAACCGAGAUUCCCCCAGUAGCGGCGAGCGAACGGGGAGGAGCCCAGAGCCUGAAUCAGUGUGUGUGUUAGUGGAAGCGUCUGGAAAGGCGCGCGAUACAGGGUGACAGCCCCGUACACAAAAAUGCACAUGCUGUGAGCUCGAUGAGUAGGGCGGGACACGUGGUAUCCUGUCUGAAUAUGGGGGGACCAUCCUCCAAGGCUAAAUACUCCUGACUGACCGAUAGUGAACCAGUACCGUGAGGGAAAGGCGAAAAGAACCCCGGCGAGGGGAGUGAAAAAGAACCUGAAACCGUGUACGUACAAGCAGUGGGAGCACGCUUCGGCGUGUGACUGCGUACCUUUUGUAUAAUGGGUCAGCGACUUAUAUUCUGUAGCAAGGUUAACCGAAUAGGGGAGCCGAAGGGAAACCGAGUCUUAACUGGGCGUUAAGUUGCAGGGUAUAGACCCGAAACCCGGUGAUCUAGCCAUGGGCAGGUUGAAGGUUGGGUAACACUAACUGGAGGACCGAACCGACUAAUGUUGAAAAAUUAGCGGAUGACUUGUGGCUGGGGGUGAAAGGCCAAUCAAACCGGGAGAUAGCUGGUUCUCCCCGAAAGCUAUUUAGGUAGCGCCUCGUGAAUUCAUCUCCGGGGGUAGAGCACUGUUUCGGCAAGGGGGUCAUCCCGACUUACCAACCCGAUGCAAACUGCGAAUACCGGAGAAUGUUAUCACGGGAGACACACGGCGGGUGCUAACGUCCGUCGUGAAGAGGGAAACAACCCAGACCGCCAGCUAAGGUCCCAAAGUCAUGGUUAAGUGGGAAACGAUGUGGGAAGGCCCAGACAGCCAGGAUGUUGGCUUAGAAGCAGCCAUCAUUUAAAGAAAGCGUAAUAGCUCACUGGUCGAGUCGGCCUGCGCGGAAGAUGUAACGGGGCUAAACCAUGCACCGAAGCUGCGGCAGCGACANNNNNNNNNNNNNNNNNNNNNNNNNNNNNNNNNNNNNNNNNNNNNNNNNNNNNNNNNUAUGCUGGAGGUAUCAGAAGUGCGAAUGCUGACAUAAGUAACGAUAAAGCGGGUGAAAAGCCCGCUCGCCGGAAGACCAAGGGUUCCUGUCCAACGUUAAUCGGGGCAGGGUGAGUCGACCCCUAAGGCGAGGCCGAAAGGCGUAGUCGAUGGGAAACAGGUUAAUAUUCCUGUACUUGGUGUUACUGCGAAGGGGGGACGGAGAAGGCUAUGUUGGCCGGGCGACGGUUGUCCCGGUUUAAGCGUGUAGGCUGGUUUUCCAGGCAAAUCCGGAAAAUCAAGGCUGAGGCGUGAUGACGAGGCACUACGGUGCUGAAGCAACAAAUGCCCUGCUUCCAGGAAAAGCCUCUAAGCAUCAGGUAACAUCAAAUCGUACCCCAAACCGACACAGGUGGUCAGGUAGAGAAUACCAAGGCGCUUGAGAGAACUCGGGUGAAGGAACUAGGCAAAAUGGUGCCGUAACUUCGGGAGAAGGCACGCUGAUAUGUAGGUGAGGUCCCUCGCGGAUGGAGCUGAAAUCAGUCGAAGAUACCAGCUGGCUGCAACUGUUUAUUAAAAACACAGCACUGUGCAAACACGAAAGUGGACGUAUACGGUGUGACGCCUGCCCGGUGCCGGAAGGUUAAUUGAUGGGGUUAGCGGUAACGCGAAGCUCUUGAUCGAAGCCCCGGUAAACGGCGGCCGUAACUAUAACGGUCCUAAGGUAGCGAAAUUCCUUGUCGGGUAAGUUCCGACCUGCACGAAUGGCGUAAUGAUGGCCAGGCUGUCUCCACCCGAGACUCAGUGAAAUUGAACUCGCUGUGAAGAUGCAGUGUACCCGCGGCAAGACGGAAAGACCCCGUGAACCUUUACUAUAGCUUGACACUGAACAUUGAGCCUUGAUGUGUAGGAUAGGUGGGAGGCUUUGAAGUGUGGACGCCAGUCUGCAUGGAGCCGACCUUGAAAUACCACCCUUUAAUGUUUGAUGUUCUAACGUUGACCCGUAAUCCGGGUUGCGGACAGUGUCUGGUGGGUAGUUUGACUGGGGCGGUCUCCUCCUAAAGAGUAACGGAGGAGCACGAAGGUUGGCUAAUCCUGGUCGGACAUCAGGAGGUUAGUGCAAUGGCAUAAGCCAGCUUGACUGCGAGCGUGACGGCGCGAGCAGGUGCGAAAGCAGGUCAUAGUGAUCCGGUGGUUCUGAAUGGAAGGGCCAUCGCUCAACGGAUAAAAGGUACUCCGGGGAUAACAGGCUGAUACCGCCCAAGAGUUCAUAUCGACGGCGGUGUUUGGCACCUCGAUGUCGGCUCAUCACAUCCUGGGGCUGAAGUAGGUCCCAAGGGUAUGGCUGUUCGCCAUUUAAAGUGGUACGCGAGCUGGGUUUAGAACGUCGUGAGACAGUUCGGUCCCUAUCUGCCGUGGGCGCUGGAGAACUGAGGGGGGCUGCUCCUAGUACGAGAGGACCGGAGUGGACGCAUCACUGGUGUUCGGGUUGUCAUGCCAAUGGCACUGCCCGGUAGCUAAAUGCGGAAGAGAUAAGUGCUGAAAGCAUCUAAGCACGAAACUUGCCCCGAGAUGAGUUCUCCCUGACUCCUUGAGAGUCCUGAAGGAACGUUGAAGACGACGACGUUGAUAGGCCGGGUGUGUAAGCGCAGCGAUGCGUUGAGCUAACCGGUACUAAUGAACCGUGAGGCUUAACCUUACAACGCCGAAG